rnacentral:rRNA from 1 species
GAUUUACUUGAGUGCGAUAGAGGCAAGUGGAACUCCAUGUGUAGCGGUGAAAUGCGUAGAUAUGUGGAAGAACACCAGUGGCGAAAGCGGCUUGCUAGAUCGUAACUGACGUUGAGGCUCGAAAGUAUGGGUAGCAAACGGGAUUAGAUACCCCGGUAGUCCAUACCGUAAACGAUGGGUGCUAGUUGUUAAGAGGUUUCCGCCUCCUAGUGACGUAGCAAACGCAUUAAGCACCCCGCCUGAGGAGUACGGCCGCAAGGCUAAAACUUAAAGGAAUUGACGGGGACCUGCACAAGCGGUGGAGCAUGUGGUUUAAUUCGAAGAUACGCGAAAAACCUUACCAGGUCUUGACAUACCAAUGAUCGCUUUUGUAAUGAAAGCUUUUCUUCGGAACAUUGGAUACAGGUGGUGCAUGGUCGUCGUCAGCUCGUGUCGUGAGAUGUUGGGUUAAGUCCCGCAACGAGCGCAACCCUUGUUAUUAGUUGCCAGCAUUUAGUUGGGCACUCUAAUGAGACUGCCGGUGAUAAACCGGAGGAAGGUGGGGACGACGUCAGAUCAUCAUGCCCC